rnacentral:rRNA from 1 species
CCUACGGGUGUCCGCAGUGAGGAAUCUUGGUCAAUGGACGAGAGUCUGAACCAGCCACGUAGCGUGAAGGAUGACUGCCCUAUGUGUUGUAAACUUCUUUUAUAAAGGAAUAAAACGAGGCACGUGUGCCUUUUUGCAUGUACUUUAUGAAUAAGGAUCGGCUCACUCCGUGCCAGCAGCCGCGGUAAUACGGAGGAUCCUAGCGUUAUCCGGAUUUAUUGGGUUUAAAGGGAGCGGAGAUGGGUUGUUAUGUGAGUUGUGAAAGUUUGCGGCUCAACCGUAAAAUUGCAAUUGAUACUGGCAGUCGUGAGUACAGUUGAGGUAGGCGGAAUUCGUGGUGUAGCGGUGAAAUGCUUAGAUAUCACGAAGAACCCCGAUUGAGAAGGCAGCUUACUAAACUGUGACUGACAUUGAUGCUCGAAAGUGUGGGUAUCAAACAGGAGUAGAUACCCGUGUAGUC